rnacentral:sRNA from 1 species
UUUGGAAGUAAAAGUCGUAACAAGGUCUCCGUUGGUGAACCAGCGGAGGGAUCAUUACUGAGUUACCGCUCUAUAACCCUUUGUGAACAUACCUACAACUGUUGCUUCGGCGGGUAGGCCGUCCCCUGAAAAGGACGCCUCCCGGCCCGGACCGGACCCCCCGCGGGACCGGACCCGGCGCCCGCCGGAGGAUAACCAAACUCUAUUGUAACGACGUUUCUUCUGAGUGGCAUAAGCAAAAUAAUCAAAACUUUUAACAACGGAUCUCUUGGUUCUGGCAUCGAUGAAGAACGCAGCGAAAUGCGAUAAGUAAUGUGAAUUGCAGAAUUCAGUGAAUCAUCGAAUCUUUGAACGCACAUUGCGCCCGCCAGCAUUCUGGCGGGCAUGCCUGUUCGAGCGUCAUUUCAACCCUCAAGCUCUGCUUGGUGUUGGGGCUCUACGGUCGACGUAGGCCCUCAAAGGUAGUGGCGGACCCUCCCGGAGCCUCCUUUGCGUAGUAACAUUUCGUCUCGCACUGGGAUCCGGAGGGACUCUUGCCGUAAAACCCCCCA